AACUGACUAAUGUGGGGGAGGAAGACAGUGCUCCUGAAGGUAGGAGUCUAUCAAUUGAUGAAGAUGAUCAUCCAAAUGUCAUAGACCAAAUGGAGCAAACAGCACACAGACCUAGUGGUGGGAGGAAAAAAUCCUUAAAUAAGAGUCACGGGGGAAUGAUUAAUGGACUUCAAUGUCUGUACACUAAUGCGCAAAGCAUGGGAAAUAAACAAGAUGAGCUUGAGCUCUUGGUACAGCAAACUAAAUAUGACAUAAUAGGCAUCACUGAAACCUGGUGGGAUAAGUCCCACGAUUGGAAUGUAAUAAUGGGGGAUACAAUCUAUUUCAGAGAAACAGACCAGACAAGAAAGGAGGAGGAGUGGCGUUAUAUGUCAGGGAUGUGUAUACCUGUGAAGAGAUCCAAGAUUUAGAACCUCAAAGCCAAAGUGAGAGCAUUUGGGUCAAAAUUAAGGGAGAGAAGAAUAACAGUGACCUCAUUGUGGGAGUUUACUAUAGAUCCCCAAGCCAAACGGAGGACAUAGAUGAUGCCUUCCUGGAACAGAUGGCCAAGCAUGCAAAAGGAAGGGAGAUAGUAGUAAUGGGGGACUUCAAUUACCCGGAUAUUUGUUGGAUGUCAAACUCAGCCAAGAGCAUAAGGUCAAACAGAUUCCUCACUGGCCUUGCAGACAACUUCAUUGUCCAGAAAGUGGGAGAAGCAACAAGAGGAACAGCCAUUUUAGAUCUGGUCCUAACCAAUGUUGAUGACCUGGUUAGUGGGGUAGAAGUGGAAGGAUCAUUAGGCGCGAGUGAUCAUGCUCUUCUGAAGUUUACUAUACAGCGGAAAGGAGCAGCCAAGCAUACUAGGACUCAAUUUCUUGACUUUAAGAAAGCUGACUUCAUAAAACUUAGGGAAGUGCUGGGUGAGAUCCCAUGGACAGUAAUACUAAAAGGAAAGGGAGUUCAUGAUGGCUGGGAGUUUGUUAAGAGGGAGAUACUAAAAGCACAACGUCAGGCAAUACCAAUGAGACAGAAACAUGGAAGGUGCCUAAAGAAGCCAGGGUGGCUAUCUAAAGAACUUUUAACUGAGUUAAGAUUAAAAAGGAUGUGUACAAAAAUGGAAAAGGGGAAACCACCAAAGAGGAAUUCAAACAAAUAGCCAGCACAUGUAGACACAAAGUCAGAAAAGCUAAAGCACAGAAUGAACUCAGGCUUGCUAGAGAGGUUAAAAGCAACAAAAAGGCUUUUAAGGGUAUGUCCGUAGCAAAAGGAAGAACAAAGAAACAGUGGGGUCACUCAGAGGAGAAGAUGGUGAAAUGCAAACAGGGGACACAGAAAGAGCUGAACUCCUCAAUGCCUUCUUUGCCUCAGUCUUCUCCGAUAAAGAAAAAAUGCCCGACCUGAAGAAUUUGGAGCAAAUGAUUCAGCAAAGGAAACACAGCCCAGAAUAACUAAGGAGAUAGUACAAGAAUACUUGGCUAGUUUAGAUGUAUUCAAGUCUCCAGGGCCAGAUGAACUGCAUCCAAGAGUAUUAAAAGAACUGGCAGAUGUGAUCUCAGAACCACUGGCAGUCAUCUUUGAGAAUUCCUGGAGAACAGGUGAAGUCCCGGCAGACUGGAGGAGGGCAAAUGUUGUCCCUAUUUUCAAAAAGGGGAAAAGAGAGGACCCAAAUAAUUACCGCCCAGUCAGUCUGACAUCAAUACCAGGGAAGAUUCUGGAGCAGAUCAUUAAGCAAACAGUCUGUGAGCACCUAGAAAGGAAUGCUGUGAUCACCAAUAGUCAGCAUGGAUUUCUGAAAAAUAAGUCAUGUCAGACUAACCUGAUCUCAUUUUUGACAGAAUUACAAGCCUGGUAGAUGAAGGGAAUGCAGUGGAUGUAGCCUACCUUGAUUUCAGCAAGGCAUUUGACAAGGUGCCUCAUGAUAUUCUUGUAAAGAAGCUGGUAAAAUGUGGUCUUGACUAUGCUACCACUCAGUGGAUUUGUAACUGGCUGACUGACCGAACCCAAAGGGUGCUCAUCAAUGGUUCCUCUUCAUCCUGGAGAAGAGUGACUAGUGGGGUGCCACAGGGUUCUGUCUUGGGCCCGGUCUUAUUCAACAUCUUUAUCAACGACUUGGAUGAUGGACUCAAGGGCAUCCUGAUCAAAUUUGCAGAUGACACCAAAUUGGGAGGGGUGGCUAACACCCCAGAGGACAGGAUCACACUUCAAAACGACCUUGACAGAUUAGAGAACUGGGCCAAAACAAACAAGAUGAAUUUUAACAGGGAGAAAUGUAAAGUAUUGCACUUGGGCAAAAAAAUGAGAGGCACAAAUACAAGAUGGGGGACACCUGGCUUGAGAGCAGUACAUGUGAAAAGGAUCUAGGAGUCUUGGUUGACCACAAACUUGACAUGAGCCAACAGUGUGACGCAGCAGCUAAAAAGGCCAAUGCAAUUCUGGGCUGCAUCAAUAGGAGUAUAGCAUCUAGAUCAAGGGAAGUAAUAGUGCCACUGUAUUCUGCUCUGGUCAGACCUCACCUGGAGUACUGUGUCCAGUUCUGGGCACCACAGUUCAAGAAGGACAUUGACAAACUGGAGCGUGUCCAGAGGAGGGCAACCAAAAUGGUCAAAGGCCUGGAAACGAUGCCUUAUGAGGAACGGCUAAGAGAGCUGGGCAUGUUUAGCCUGGAGAAGAGGAGGUUGAGGGGUGAUAUGAUAGCCAUGUUCAAAUAUAUAAAAGGAUGUCACAUAGAGGAGGGAGAAAGGUUGUUUUCUGCUGCUCCAGAGAAGCGGACACGGAGCAAUGGAUCCAAACUACAAGAAAGAAGAUUCCACCUAAACAUUAGGAAGAACUUCCUGACAGUAAGAGCUGUUCGACAGUGGAAUUUGCUGCCAAGGAGUGUGGUGGAGUCUCCUUCUUUGGAGGUCUUUAAGCAGAGGCUUGACAACCAUAUGUCAGGAGUGCUCUGAUGGUGUUUCCUGC